rnacentral:rRNA from 1 species
ACACCCGUCUUGACCUCGAUCGGAGU